rnacentral:sRNA from 2 species
AUAUCUCUCUGUACGGGAAGGAUGAGAAGCUUCGACUAAGGUUCGAUUCGAGCGCAGCGAGAAAGCGUUGCCGCAGGCAACGACCCGAAGGGCGAAGCGCGCAGCGCUGA